AGUUCGAUUCUGGCUCAGAUUGAACGCUGGCGGGAUGCUUACACAUGCAAGUCGAACGGCAGCACGGACUUCGGUCUUUGGUGGCGAGUGGCGAACGGGUGAGUAAUGGAACGUGCCUAGUAGCGGGGAUAACUACGCGAAAGCGUAGCUAAUACUGCAUACGCCCUUCGGGGAAAGCGGGGACCUUCGGGCUUCGCACUAUUAGAGCGGCCGAUAUCGGAUUAGCUAGUUGCGGGGUAACGGCUCACCAAGGCGACGAGUAGCUGGUUUGAGAGAGGACGACCAGCCACACUGGGACUGAGACACGGCCCAGGACUCCUACGGGAGGCAGCAGUGGGGAAUUUUACAAUGGGGGAAACCCUGAUCCAGCCAUCCCGCGUGUGCGAUGGGGGCCUUCGGGUUGUAAAGCACUUUUGGCAGGAAAGAAACGCAUCGGAUAAUACCCCGUGCAACUGACGGUACCUGCAGAAUAAGCACUGGUUAACUACGUGCCAGCAGCCGCGGUGGUAAUACGUAGGGUGCAAGCGUUAAUCGGAAUUACUGGGCGUAAAAGCGUGCGCAGGCGGUUCGGAAAGAAAGAUGUGGAAUCCCAGAGCUUAACUUUGGAACUGCCAUUUUUAACUACCGAGCUAGAGCACAAGAGGGUGAAUUCCGCGUGUAGCAGUGAAUGCGUAGAUAUGCGGAGGAACACCGAUGGCGAAGGCAGCCUCCUAUACCACUGACGCUCAUGCACGAAAGCGUGGGGAGCAAACAGGAUUAGAUACCCUGGUAGUCCACGCCCUAAACGAUGUCAACUAGCUGUUGGGGCCUUUGGCCUGGUAGCGCAGCUAACGCGUGAAGUUGACCGCCUGGGGAGUACGGUCGCAAGAUUAAAACUCAAAGAAUUGACGGGGACCCGCACAAGCGGUGGAUGAUGUGGAUUAAUUCGAUGCAACGCGAAAAACCUUACCUACCCUUGACAUGUCUGGAAUCCCGAAGAGAUUUGGGGAAGGAGUGCUCGCAAGAGAACCGGAACACAGGUGCUGCAUGGCUGUCGUCAGCUCGUGUCGUGAGAUGUUGGGUUAAGUCCUAAUUGAGCGCAACCCUUGUCAUUAGUUGCUACGAAAGGCACCCACGAGACUGCCGGUGACAAACCGAGGAAGGUGGGGAUGACGUCAAGUCCUCAUGGCCCUUGCGGGUAGGGCUUCAUGACGUCAUACAAUGGUCGGGAUAGAGAGGGUCGCCAACCCGCGAGGGGGAGCUAAUCCCAGAAACCCGAUCGUGGUCCGGAUCGCAGUCUGCAACUCACCGGUGUGAAGUCGGAAUCGCUAGGUAAUCGAUCAGCACAAGUCGCGGUGAAUACGUUCCGGGUCUUGUACACACCGCCCGUCACACCAUGGAGCGGGUUUACCAGAAGUAGUUAGCCUAACCGUAAGGAGGGCGAUUACCACGGUAGGAUUCAUGACUGGGGUGAAGUCGUAACAAGGGUAGCCC
rnacentral:rRNA from 1 species